rnacentral:rRNA from 1 species
UACGUAGGGGGCAAGCGUUGUCCGGAAUCAUUGGGCGUAAAGCGCGUGUAGGCGGUUCGGUAAGUCCGCUGUGAAAGUCGGGGGCUCAACCCUCGAAAGCCGGUGGAUACUGUCGGGCUAGAGUGCGGAAGAGGCGAGUGGAAUUCCUGGUGUAGCGGUGAAAUGCGCAGAUAUCAGGAGGAACACCGAUGGCGAAGGCAGGUCUCUGGGCAUUAACUGACGCUGAGGAGCGAAAGCAUGGGGAGCGAACAGG